rnacentral:rRNA from 1 species
UUCCUACGGGGGGCAGCAGUAGGGAAUCUUCCACAAUGGACGAAAGUCUGAUGGAGCAACGCCGCGUGAGUGAAGAAGGGUUUCGGCUCGUAAAGCUCUGUUGGUAGUGAAGAAAGAUAGAGGUAGUAACUGGCCUUUAUUUGACGGUAAUUACUUAGAAAGUCACGGCUAACUACGUGCCAGCAGCCGCGGUAAUAAGGAAGCGGCAAGCGUUAUCCGGAUUCACUGGGCGGAAAGGGAGCG